UCAUUGGGUUUAAAGGGUCCGUAGGCGGUUUAGUAAGUCAGUGGUGAAAGCCCAUCGCUCAACGGUGGAACGGCCAUUGAUACUGCUAAACUUGAAUUAUUAGGAAGUAACUAGAAUAUGUAGUGUAGCGGUGAAAUGCUUAGAGAUUACAUGGAAUACCAAUUGCGAAGGCAGGUUACUACUAAUGGAUUGACGCUGAUGGACGAAAGCGUGGGUAGCGAACAGGAUUAGAUACCCUGGUAGUCCACGCCGUAAACGAUGGAUACUAGCUGUUGGGAGCAAUUUCAGUGGCUAAGCGAAAGUGAUAAGUAUCCCACCUGGGGAGUACGUUCGCAAGAAGAAACUCAAAGGAAUUGACGGGGGCCCGCACAAGCGGGGAGCAUGUGGUUUAAUUCGAUGCUACGCGAGGAACCUUA
rnacentral:rRNA from 1 species